AGAUGGUAGGAUAGAGGCCUACCAUGGUUUUAACGGGUAACGGGGAAUUAGGGUUCGAUUCCGGAGAGGGAGCCUGAGAAACGGCUACCACAUCCAAGGAAGGCAGCAGGCGCGCAAAUUACCCAAUCCCGACACGGGGAGGUAGUGACAAUAAAUAACAAUACAGGGCUCUUACGGGUCUUGUAAUUGGAAUGAGUACAAUUUAAAUCCCUUAACGAGGAACAAUUGGAGGGCAAGUCUGGUGCCAGCAGCCGCGGUAAUUCCAGCUCCAAUAGCGUAUAUUAAAGUUGUUGCAGUUAAAAAGCUCGUAGUUGAAUUUCGGGAUUCUACCGUUGGUCGGGCUAACAAGUCUGUACUGGUGUGUAGAAUUUCUACCUUCUGGAGAACUAUCAUGUUAUUAAUUUAGCGUGGUGGGAAACCAGGACCUUUACCUUGAAAAAAUUAGAGUGUUCAAAGCAGGCUUACGUCUGAAUACAUUAGCAUGGAAUAAUAGAAUAGGACGGUGGUCCUGUUUUGUUGGUUUCUGAAUCACCGUAAUGAUUAAUAGGGAUAGUUGGGGGCAUUAGUAUUCAAUUGUCAGAGGUGAAAUUCUUGGAUUUAUUGAAGACUAACUUCUGCGAAAGCAUUUGCCAAGGAUGUUUUCAUUAAUCAAGAACGAAAGUUAGGGGAUCGAAGACGAUCAGAUACCGUCGUAGUCUUAACCAUAAACUAUGCCGACUAGGGAUCGGACGAUGUUAAAUUUAUGACUCGUUGCCCCC
rnacentral:rRNA from 1 species